rnacentral:rRNA from 1 species
UGGUUUGAUUCUGGCUCAGGAUGAACGCUGGCGGCAUGCCUAAUACAUGCAAGUCGAACGGAGUGAAGCCUUCGGGUUUCAUUCAGUGGCGAACGGGUGAGUAAUACGCAGGGAACCUGGCCAUGGCAGGGGGAUACACUCUGGAAACGGAGCAUAAGACCCCAUAGGCAGUAAGGCGGCAUCGCCUUACUGUUAAAGAAAGCUGAAAGGCUUUGGCGAUGGAUGGACCUGCGGUGCAUUAGCUUGUUGGUGAGGCAACGGCUUACCAAGGCGAUGAUGCAUAGCCGGCCUGAGAGGGCGGACGGCCACACUGGGACUGAGACACGGCCCAGACUCCUGCGGGAGGCAGCAGUAGGGAAUUUUCGUCAAUGGGCGCAAGCCUGAACGAGCAAUGCCGCGUGAGUGAGGAAGGUCUUCGGACUGUAAAGCUCUGUUGCCGGGGAAAAAGGGGAAAUGCAGGAAAUGGCAUUUCAUGGAUGGUACCCGGCCAGAAAGCCACGGCUAACUACGUGCCAGCAGCCGCGGUAAUACGUAGGUGGCGAGCGUUAUCCGGAAUGAUUGGGCGUAAAGGGUGCGCAGGCGGUCUGUUAAGUCUGAAGGCAAAGGGAUGAGCUCAACUCAUUUAUGAUUCAGAAACUGGCAGACUUGAGGACAGGAGAGGGCGGUGGAACUCCAUGUGUAGCGGUAAAAUGCGCAGAGAUAUGGAAGAACACCAGUGGCGAAGGCGGCCGCCUGGCCUGUGACUGACGCUGAGGCACGAAAGCGUGGGGAGCAAAUAGGAUUAGAUACCCUAGUAGUCCACGCCGUAAACGAUGAGGAGCAGGUGUUGGGAGUGAAAUCUCAGUGCCGAAGCCAACGCAGUGACUCCUCCGCCUGGGGAGUAUGCACGCAAGUGUGAAACUCAAAGGAAUUGACGGGGGCCCGCACAAGCGGUGGAGUAUGUGGUUUAAUUCGAAGCAACGCGAAGAACCUUACCAGGUUUUGACAUCGGAUGCGAAGGCGCAGAGAUGCGCUGGAGGCUAUCAUCCAGACAGGUGGUGCAUGGUUGUCGUCAGCUCGUGUCGUGAGAUGUUCAGUUAAGUCUGGCAACGAGCGCAACCCCCGUGGUAUGUUACUAACGCAUUUGGGCGAGGACUCAUAUCAGACUGCCGGUGACAAACCGGAGGAAGGCGGGGAUGACGUCAAAUCAUCAUGCCCCUUAUGACCUGGGCUACACACGUACUACAAUGGCGUCUACAGAGGGAAGCGACCCUGAGAAGGGAAGCGAAACCGGAAAAGGGCGUCCCAGUUCGGAUUGAAGUCUGCAACCCGACUUCAUGAAGAUGGAAUCGCUAGUAAUCGCGGAUCAGCAUGCCGCGGUGAAUACGUUCCCGGGCCUUGUACACACCGCCCGUCAAACCAUGGAAGCCGGCAACGCCCGAAGCCGGUGGCAUAACCUUUUAGGAGUGAGCCGUCGAAGGCGGGGCCGAUGACUGGGGUUAAGUCGUAAAAAGGUAGCC